UGAUGAAGGUGCUCUCAAGUUUUUCAAAGAUAUCAAGUGGAGCAGGAUAGACAACCCAAAAGGAUUCAAGCUUGAAUUUUAUUUCGAUACUAAUCCUUAUUUCACAAACACUAUUUUGACAAAAAGCAUAUCACAUGAUUGAUGAGGAUGAGCCAAUAUUGGAAAAAGCAAUUGGGUGAAGACCCCUUCAAUGGAAAUAAUCAAAUCCAUCUCAGGCAUCAAGGUUCAAGUCUGUGAAAGAAACCACCAACCCGUUGAUGAGGUCACGGUGGCAGUGACUUUGGUGGAGCUGUCGGUUGAUGGUUCUAUUAUGGGUACUGUUGAAAUUAAGCUUCCUGAAGAAGGAGUAGGAGGCCUUGGUUCUAUUAUGGGAGAGGAACAAUAACUAUGACCUGGCUUUACUUACAUUUUAUUAUUGUUAAGACAUUGACCAAUUUGCAUUCGAUGUUGUGUGUUUACUUGAUUUAAUUAAAAACAAGAAGUAAACAAAGUUGAACAAAAAGAAAAGACUUGCAAUUUCCUCAACGAUAAACCUUCCCUUAAAGCACAUAAUAGUUAGCAAAUAACAGGGCAUUUUUCUUGCUUUUACUUUGACACACUAAUCCUUUUCCAGUGUCUCUCUUUUUCUCUUUACUUCCGCCGCCCCUCCCCUCUUACGAUUCCACAUAUAUGAUGUAGCUAUCUGUGUCAUUACAGGUUUGCCCUAAUCACAUGAAACUACAGAUUAAUGGAGAGAUUGUUGGAGAAAAAUCGCUGUCAUCAAAUAAGGAACGCAGUUCAAAUGAUUUGAGGAAAAUAGUUUUGGCAAAUAUUGGUGGAGAUGGAAAUAUUUCACACGGUUAUGUGUACAAUUUUCAAGUUUUCCCUUCUGUUUCAUCUAUUAAAGAUCACCAUAUGAAACAUGAAAGAGUAUGAAGAGAGGGCAGUAUCACUGGCUUUGAGUCGCCCAAAGCUUCAAGCUCUCACUAAUAAGCUUAAGUCUGUUCGCAUGACUUGCCCUUUAUUUGACACAGCUCGCUGGGUGAGGAAUCUUGAAAGAGGAUAUCUUAAAAUGUGGAAUCUACAUUGCUCUGGUCAACGUCCCCAACAUUUCAAGUUCACCGAAAAUGAACUUGAAUAUCCUUAUGAAUAGGUGUUAGACGAGAAUGUAUAUAAGAAAAUCAAGAAAAAGUAGACCGAUCUUGUACUUGCUAUGUUGAUGAAUCUGAGUGUAAUUCUGUUAUAGCAAUCACGAACAUAUCUAUUUUGCUAGAAAUCAUGGAUGAGUAAUUUAAUGUGUU